GAUCAUAGCUCAGGAUAAACGCUAGCGGCAGGCCUAACACAUGCAAGUCGAGGGGCAGCGUGACGGGUAGCAAUACCUGUUGACGGCGACCGGCGCACGGGUGCGUAACGCGUAUGUAACCUACCGUUCACAGGGGGAUAGUCAGAGGAAACUUUGAAUAAUACCGCAUAAAACAGGGGUCCGGCAUCGGGAUAUUUGUUAAAGGUGGCGACACGGUGAACGAUGGGCAUGCGUUCGAUUAGAUAGUUGGUG
rnacentral:rRNA from 1 species